GGCCGGGUAGCUCAGUUGGUAGAGCAAGGGAUUGAAAAUCCCUGUGUCGGCGGUUCGAUUCCGUCCCCGGCCACCA
rnacentral:tRNA from 1 species